UGGGGAAUAUUGCACAAUGGGGGAAACCCUGAUGCAGCGACGCCGCGUGGAGGAAGAAGGUCUUCGGAUUGUAAACUCCUGUUGUUGAGGAAGAUAAUGACGGUACUCAACAAGGAAGUGACGGCUAACUACGUGCCAGCAGCCGCGGUAAAACGUAGGUCACAAGCGUUGUCCGGAAUUACUGGGUGUAAAGGGAGCGCAGGCGGGAAGACAAGUUGGAAGUGAAAUCCAUGGGCUCAACCCAUGAACUGCUUUCAAAACUGUUUUUCUUGAGUAGUGCAGAGGUAGGCGGAAUUCCCGGUGUAGCGGUGGAAUGCGUAGAUAUCGGGAGAACACCAGUG
rnacentral:rRNA from 1 species